GCUUAUCACCAUUCCAGUUUGAAUAUACCCGAUCUCGUCUGAUAUCGGAAGUCAAGCAAUCUCGGGCUUGGUUAGUACUUGGAUGGGUGACCGCUUGGGAAUACUAAAUGUGAUAAGCA
rfam:Ciona savignyi cont_37548, whole genome shotgun sequence.